rnacentral:misc_RNA from 1 species
GAUGAAGAACGCAGCGAAAUGCGAUAAGUAAUGUGAAUUGCAGAAUUCAGUGAAUCAUCGAAUCUUUGAACGCACAUUGCGCCCCUUGGUAUUCCGAGGGGCAUGCCUGUUCGUGCGUCAUUACACCACUCAAGCACUGCUUGGUAUUGGGCACUCGUCCGUCGAAAGACGGGCGUGCCUCGAAGACCUCGGCGGGGUUUCUCCAACUUCGGGCGUAGUAGAGUUAAAUCAAAACGUCUUAUAAGCUUGGUGAGAUCUCAUUGCCGUUAAACCUUUUUUUUUCAGGUUGACCUCGGAUCAGGUAGGGAUACCCGCUGAACUUAAGCAUAUCAAUAAGCGGAGGA